rnacentral:rRNA from 1 species
UACGAAGGGUGCAAGCGUUACUCGGAAUUACUGGGCGUAAAGCGUGCGUAGGUGGUGCGUUAAGUCUGUCGUGAAAGCCCCGGGCUCAACCUGGGAAUAGCGAUGGAUACUGGCGCGCUAGAGUGCGGUAGAGGAGAGUGGAAUUCCCGGUGUAGCAGUGAAAUGCGUAGAGAUCGGGAGGAACAUCAGUUGCGAAGGCGGCUCUCUGGACCAGCACUGACACUGAGGCACGAAAGCGUGGGGAGCAAACAGG